AUGCCCGUAGGAUCCGAUAAUGACAGCAUGGAUGAUGAGAGUGAAGCAACCAUGACUGGUGGUAAUCCUAGCGAGAUUGAUCCAUUUGACUUUGUCUACUCAAACAUUCCAGACAACACUCACAUCCUGAAACUCGCCGCAAACUGUGAACACUGCAAGGCCAGAAAAUUUGAGUCAGAGACUGACGGGUUCUGCUGUCGCAAUGGCCAGAUCGAACUUAAGCAACCGGAACCAGUCCCAGAGUUGAUGAGGCUAUGGUCCAGCAUGGAUGCAGAUUCUAGACAUUUUUGGGAGAACAUACGAUUCUUCAACGAGCAUUUUGCCUUCACAACCCUUGGCGUCAGCCUUGAUGAAAACUACACAAACAUGAAGUCUGGGGUGUACACAUUCCGGGCACACGGCACCAUCUAC
rnacentral:rRNA from 1 species